AAGAAGAUAUUUAAAUAUUUGGAAAUUAGAAAUUUUGAAUAACUAUGCAUAAUUAUAAUAUUAUGCAUGCUUAUAUAAAAAGAACAAUUCAAAAAUUAUGGACCAAGCAUAAAUUCUUGUUUUGACAUAAUUAUGAAAAUACUGAUUUAUUUAUAUAAUUAUAGAGUUUGAAAUGAGAUGAUAUCCCUACUUUAACACUGCAUGAUAUUUGGGAGGA
rnacentral:lncRNA from 1 species